ensembl:lncRNA
CUGUUUCCUGGUUGUCUACAAGCAGUGCUGUUUCCUGGUUGUCUACAAGCAGGGCUGUUUCCUGGUUGUCUACAAGCAAGACUGUUGACAGGGAGUGGCAAGAAGUAGAAUGAUAGCACAAUCAUACUGUUACCCAGGCUAGCGCUAGUGGUUACCCAGGCUAGCGCUAGUGGUUACCCAGGCUAGCGCUAGUGGUUGAUGGGCUACAAAACCUUCAAAAAACAAAGACAGGAUGCUUCACCUAGAGCAACUCUCGGACAACUCUCGGACAACUCUCGAACAACUCUCAAACAACUCUCAAACAACUCUCAAACAACUCUAAAACAACUCUAAAACAACUAUAAAACAACUCUCAAACAACUCUCAAACAACUCUAGACCUACUGGAGUGUUUACUUCAGCACACAGUGUCUGUGUCCCAAAUGGCAACCAAUUCCCUAUUUAGGGCAAUACAUUUGACCUGGGCCCAUAGGUCUCUCGUCAAAAGUAGUGAACUAUAUAGCGAAUAGGGUC